rnacentral:lncRNA from 1 species
UUUUAAGAGUCGAAGUCUUUUCUGUUGUCCAUGCUGGAGUGCAGUGGCACAAUUAUAGCUCACUGUGGUCUCAAACUCCUGAGUGUAAACAAUCCUCCUGUCUCAGCCUCCCAAGUAGCUGGGAAAAAAAAAAAAAAAACAAAAAACACCACAAUUACAUAUUGUGUUGCACACAGGAAAUAAAGAUUGUGAUAGUUUGCAGCCUUAUAAGUUUGCAAACUCCCUCUAAAUUAAAAAAAACACUAAAUUAUACAUUUUGUGUAAAGUAAUUGCUCAUGUAACGAGCCCCCCACGCCAUGCUUAACCCAAAUGUCCUAUUCUCCAGAACUGACAGCUUCACAGAAAGAAAGACAGCAGUUAAUGAACUCAAUAACAAGGCUGAGUUAGAGUAUGUACUAGUCUAAGAGAAACUUCCGAGUCAAGUAACAUAUUUCAGUAAAUAAAAAAUGAUUUCAGACAGCUCCAAAUUCUAGAUAAAACUGUUUUGCCUCAGAAAAACAUUUCUGGAAGAAAAAUGGCAAAUUUCAUCAUCCCUAAAAGUGUGAACACAGUCAACACUUACAGCCUACACCUACCUGAACUUUAGUUCUUGUAAAGCCAGUGAGAAUUUGACAUCACCUCAGGGCAAUGAGGAUGAAACUCUAUUAUGAAUGUGUAGGACUAACUGAGGACCUCAUCACCACAUUUCUGUCUAGUCUGUUAUCCACAGGACUGAAGAAUUUGAUCAGUAUUCUCCUCAAUUUCCCGUAUAGGAAAAAGACAGAGAAAGGAUAAGAAACAUGUGAAUUUGUAUUCUGAAAGCAGAAUAGAAAGGAAAAGUACAUCUUAUUAAGACCUUGGCAAGUGGCAAGUACUAUAACGUUGAGGUCAAAUCUUCCUUGUUUACAAAUGUAAUUCUAUGGCAAAGCUAUUAUAAACUGUCUUAUGGUUUCAACCUCAUGUAGGUUAAUUUUACAUCAACACACAUAAAAUUUAAAGCUAAAGGAAAAUUGCCAAAUAAUUCCAGGAUCUAACUUUAUUUGUCCAGUAAAUAUUGUUAAUCACCUACGGCUAAGCAUUGCGGUGGGAUUGGAGGUGGGGAAGUAAGUAAAAUAAGUAAAACCUUCUCUCACUUUAAUUGCAUCUGUGAGAUUUUAAAAUUGUAACAUAUUCUCUGUGCUAGUUUUUUAAACAAUUCUGAUUCUACAAAAAAAAUUUCAUUGGGAUCAUUCCAAAACAUAUUUGUCAAGGUGGUCUGUCAC